GAGAGGGAAACAACCCAGACCGUGGUUAAGGCCCUAAAAUGUCGGCUAAGUGUAAUUAAAAGGGUGUCCCAGGCCCUAGACAGCUGGGAGGUGAGCUCAGAAGCAGCUAACCUUUAAAAAGUGCGUAACAGCNNCCGAAAAUGGACGGGGCUCAAGCCGACUGCCGAUACCACGGAGCACGGAGACGUGAUCUGGUAGGAAGGCGUCCUGCGUGGGCAGAAGCAGGGCUGUAAAGUCCUGUGGACCGCGCAGGAACGAAGAUCCUGGCAAUAGUAGCAGCAUAGUCGGGUGAGAAUCCCGACCGCCGAAAGGGCUAGGUUUCCUCGACAAUGUUCGUCAGUCGAGGGUUAGUCGGUCCUAAGACGUACCGUAAUUCGAGUACGCCAAAAGGGAAACAGGUUAAUAUUCCUGUACCACGCGACAUUAAAACCUGACGCCUCCGGGUAGUUCGAACAGUGAUGCCAAACUGUCCAAGCGUAUUAAGUUCGCGGAGAACCGUAAUGGUGAGAAACGGACCAAAGCGUGAUGGGGAAACUCGGAUAAUCCCAGGGGCCCGUGAAAAAGGGAGUCGAUGGCCGUACCAAGAUCUGACACAGGUGCCCCUAGUUGAAAAGACUAAGGCGUGUCGGCAUAACCCACCCAAGGGAAAUCGGCAAAUUAGCCCCGUAACUUCGGGAGAAGGGGUGCCUGCUCUGAGAAGAGCAGGUCGCAGUGACUAGGGGGCUCUAACUGUCUAAUAACAACACAGGUGAUUGCUAACCCGAAAGGGCAAGUACAAUCACUGAAUCCUGCCCAGUGCAGGUACCUGAACAUCCGGUUCAACGGGAAGAAGGGCCUGUCAACGGCGGGGGUAACUAUGACCCUCUUAAGGUAGCGUAGUACCUUGCCGCUUAAUUGGCGGCUUGCAUGAAUGGACCAAUGAGAGCCCUACUGUCCCUGGGUGGAACCCGGUGAACUUUACAUUCCAGUGCAGAGUCUGGAGACCCCUGAUGGGAAGUGAAGACCCCGUGGAGCUUUACUGCAGCCUGUCGUUGGGAUGCGGUUGUGCAUGCGCAGCGUAGGUAGGAGGCGUCGAUCCACCACUUCUGGGUGGUGGGGAGCCUAUCCUGAGACACUACCCUUGUACGGUUGCGUCCCUUACCGUGAGAACGGGACCCCGAUAGGUGGGCAGUUUGGCUGGGGCGGCACGCCCUUGAAAAGAUAUCAAGGGUGCCCAAAGGUUGACUCAGGUGGGUCAGAAACCCACCGAAGAGCGUAAGGGCAAAAGUCAGCCUGAUGUGAUUCAGCAAAGUAGUGGAUCACAAGACGAAAGUCGGGCCUAACGAACCUUUAUGCCCUAUUGGUGAGGGCUAAAGAUGACAGAAAAGCUACCCCGGGGAUAACAGAGUUGUCACCAGUAAGAGCACAUAUCGACCUGGUGGCUUGCUACCUCGAUGUCGGUUCUUUCCAUCCUGGCCGUGCAGAAGCGGCCAAGGGUGAGGUUGUUCGCCUAUUAAAGGAGAUCGUGAGCUGGGUUUAGACCGUCGUGAGACAGGUCGGUUACUAUCUGUCAGGGGUGUGUUGAGGUCUGAGGGGAAGUUGGCUAUAGUACGAGAGGAACUAGCCAACGUGGCCUCUGGUCUAUCGGUUGUCUGGCAAGGCAGUGCCGAGCAGCUACGCCAUAAUGGAUAAGAGCUGAAUGCAUCUAAGCUCGAAACCAACCCCGAAAAGAGACCUCUUAAGGACAUCGGUAAAAGACCGGUUUGAUAGAGUCGGGAUGUACGCACCAAGGCAACGAGGUGUUCAGUCCGCGGCCACUAACGUCCGAGCCACACC
rnacentral:rRNA from 1 species